rnacentral:rRNA from 1 species
GACGAACGCCGGCGGCGUGCCUAAUACAUGCAGGUUGAGCGCUGAAGGUUGGUACUUGUACCAACUGGAUGAGCAGCGAACGGGUGAGUAACGCGUGGGGAAUCUGCCUUUGAGCGGGGGACAACAUUUGGAAACGAAUGCUAAUACCGCAUAAAAACUUUAAACACAAGUUUUAAGUUUGAAAGAUGCAAUUGCAUCACUCAAAGAUGAUCCCGCGUUGUAUUAGCUAGUUGGUGAGGUAAAGGCUCACCAAGGCGAUGAUACAUAGCCGACCUGAGAGGGUGAUCGGCCACAUUGGGACUGAGACACGGCCCAAACUCCUACGGGAGGCAGCAGUAGGGAAUCUUCGGCAAUGGACGAAAGUCUGACCGAGCAACGCCGCGUGAGUGAAGAAGGUUUUCGGAUCGUAAAACUCUGUUGGUAGAGAAGAACGUUGGUGAGAGUGGAAAGCUCAUCAAGUGACGGUAACUACCCAGAAAGGGACGGCUAACUACGUG